AAUCAGAAGAUAUUUGAAUAAUGGAAUUGGGGUGUGCGGAUAUCAUGAGAAUAUCUUUAUCAGUGGCUGUUACACUAUGACGAGGUUUUCGUCAGCUGCGAAUAAAAUCGUCUUGUACUCUUCGACCGACAAAAGGUAUUUUCUCGUUUCAUGUACCAAUGAAGGAAAUGGAUCAGAUACUCGGCAAGAUUGUACUCACUGAAUAGAAAAUCUGCGAACAAUAUGAUGGGAACGAUACAAGCCAGAUCGAUCAGAUAACCGAAGACCAAAUUACCAACCAGUGCUCCUAAUCUUCCCAUUGUCAGAGACAAUGCAGCUGCCAUCACCCUGGAGACAGACAAGUUCCAUAUUUUUUUCAUUUCUCGCUUUGUCCGAUUCAUUCAAAAAGUCAAUUGAAUUUUUAAAUGAAGAGUAGUAGGUAAUGAUCAUAUUGCAAACCUUAAAUUCGUUGGAAACAUAUCAACGAUUACACAGUAAACUAAUGAUAUUCCCAACGACGUGAGGGCCUCGAAGAUGCACGAAAGAAUGAGAUUCUGAUCUGAACUCGUCACGAAAUAGAAGCCGAUGGUUACUGCACCGGAAAUUACGAGUGAUGCAACUGAAAUUGUGAAAUUAAUAAAAAUUAAUGAGUCAGUUGAUUAGGGGCUCUUCAGAAAUUUGUAAUCUCAAGAUUUGAGGAACUAUUUGGCUCCUUAAGGUUGUAGACAAUCAUUCACAACUUACUGAGAAAAACUUUAGCUCCAACUUUAUGAAUGAAGAGAGGCAAAAUGAUGGAGCCCGGUAUACAAGCC